CGCAUCUGUGCAUGCAGCAUAUCAAUAAGCGGAGGAAAAGAAACUAACUAAGGAUUCCCUCAGUAACGGCGAGUGAAGCGGGAAGAGCUCAAAUUUGAAAUCUUCAAGGUUUUACCUUGACGAAUUGUAGUUUAAAGAAGUGUUUUCUGUUGAAGUUUUGGUAAAAGUUCUUUGGAAUAGGACAUCAUAGAGGGUGAGAAUCCCGUAUUUGACCAUUAUUUUCAGCUGUGUGAUACACUUUCAAAGAGUCGGAUUGUUUGGGAAUGCAGUCCAAAAUGGGUGGUAAAUUUCAUCUAAAGCUAAAUAUUGGCGAGAGACCGAUAGCGAACAAGUACCGUGAGGGAAAGAUGAAAAGAACUUUGAAAAGAGAGUUAAACAGUACGUGAAAUUGUCAAAAGGGAAGCGUUUGACACCAGUGUUGUUUUCUCGAAAAUCAAUUAAAAAGAGUUAGAUUUUGUUGUGUAUUGACCUUAACAGCUUGCAUUUCAAUUUUCUUGCCUUUUUUAAUGCACUUUUCGUUUAGCAAGUCAACAUCAGUUUCUUUUGUUGUAAAAAGGUCAUUGGAAGGUGGCUUUCUUUUCGGAGAAAGUGUUUAUAGCCUUUGACUCCUGCAAUCGGAGAGACUGAGGUCUGCAGCGUAGAUCCUUCGGGGUUAGAUACAUUUGUGCUAAGUUAUAGCUUUUUAUAGACAACUUGUUGACUAUGAUUAGUCUUGUAGCUUACUCGCUUAUGCUAUUUUACCUACGCUUAGGAUGUUGAUCUGUAGUGCGUGCGC
rnacentral:rRNA from 1 species